GCCGCCAGGAGGCCGCGGACGCGUGCUCGCAUGCCUGUGGUAUUUGCUCAGAGGGGCAUGACCACUUCGGGCAAGCCUUUAAAUUAGAGACGGAGUUUCAACCAUGUUAGCCAAGAUGUUCUCGAUCUCCUGACCUCGUGAUCCUCCCGCCUCGGCCUCUCAAAGUGCUGGGAUUACAGACUUGAUGCAAGGGGAUGUGUGCUUUACGGGAAACUGUCAGCGCUGCAGUCGGCAUCAGAGACGUGCUGCUAAAGAGAACACUACCAGCAUUUAGGAGAAGGGACUUGGAAUGAUGGACAGGACCGUACCCCUUCUCUCAUUAUCACAAGCCAAAGCAAAUGAUGUAUAUCUGUGAGGUCUAACAACGUCCCUAAGCCUUAUCCUUUUAGGAUCCCAGUCAUCCAGCGCACUGUAUUGUUGCAGCUAGGAGUUUAAGACAUAGAGUCAGACAGACAUGUGUUUGAAUUUCAGCUCCACCGCUGACUAGCUAAGCAAGCUUGAGCAAGUUACCAUUUCUUCUAAGUUCCUUCAGUUUUUUUUUUUUGAGAUGGAGUUUCACUCUGUCACCCAGGCUGGAGUGCAAUGGUGUGAUCUCGGCGCACUGCAACCUCCACCCCCUGGGUUCAAGCGAUUCUUCUGCCUCAGCCUCCCAAGUAGCUGGGAUUAUAGGCAUCUGCCACCACACCCUGCUAUUUUUUUGUAUUUUUAGUAGAGAUAGGAUUUCACCGUGUUAGCCAGGAUGGUCUCGAUCUCCUGACCUCGUGACCCGCCCUCCUCGGCCUCCCAAAAUGCUGGGAUUACAGGCAUGAGCCACCUCACCUUGUCCUCAUUCCUUCAUUUUCAAAAUGGGGCUAUGUUAUUUGCCACAGAGAGUUUCUGUGAUGAUUGUUAAAAUGCACAUAAAAUACCUACCACAUAAUUCAUUCUCAAAAAAUUCUAGAAAUAUUACGUAAUGACCCAGGAGACAGAAGAUCUGGCGUCACUUCCCAUCUGUGUGAGCCAGGACAAGUUAAUUUACCUGUCAGUGCCUCAGUUUCCUCAUCAAUAAAAUAUGGGUUAAAUGUCCACCUCGUUACGUAAACUAAAGACAAUGAGUAUAAAAACUAUGACAUACACUAAGAAGAUACUACAUGAUGGUGAUAGUUUUUGUGUUUACUUCCCAGACUCCAGUUUUAUCCCUGCGUCAGCUAUGUGAUCCUUCACAGGUCACUUAUUUUUCAAAGACCUCAGUUUAGUUUCCCCAUUAUAAAAUAAAAGUGGAGUUAGACAUCUAUUGUCCAUUCCAACUGUAUGAUUUUAUGAACUUUCUAUUUUUGUGAUUUUUCUGUAUUUCAAAAAUACCUACUAGAAUAGAGAACAAGGUUUCCAAAGGCCUCCCCUCCCCCGGGAUACAGAAGCCUCUGUUCCUUGAUUACCCUUUUGCUGACCUACUCUUAGCCCAUAAACCCAUCGAGCUCACACUGACUUAGACAAAGAGCAGAGACCCCCAGGAAGAAGAAAGUGUCCCUGCAUUUGGUGAGCCUACAGUGUAGUUGAAAACAAAGGAUGGAUAGAUAUGCAAGAAUAAGACUGAUACGCAAAGCAAAUCCCAAUAAGUUAACAUUAACAUGGUGAUUACCUAGAAUCAGAGUUAAGAGCAUGAGCUCUGGAGUCAGACCAGUGACAGGUCAGGUCCUAGCUCCACCACCUGCAACAGUUUCACCUUGGACAAAAAACCCCUUACCACUGCCUGAGUCUUGAUUUCUUCCUCUGUAUGAGGCUUUAAAAAAUGCAGUAGCUCUUGUGAGGAUUAAAUCAGAUGAUCCAUGCAAGAUGCUUAGCCCAGUGGCUGGCAUAUCGUGAGUCCUCACAGUAUUGGUUAUUACUGUUAUUAAUACUGCUAUUACUAUUGUCAUGGUUAUCUCAGAAAACCUCACAGAAGAGAUAUGUAAAAGCCAGAUUUUGAAGAGGGGCUAGAGAGUUUUGUGAUGGGAGGGUGGUUCUUGGAAACAGUCAGUGGAAAGCAGUAUGUCCAUAUGGAUCUCUUGUGGAGGAACCCAACAUCUGUGGAUUUUCAAAGCUUUCCACGUAAUUCUGACCCGCAGCCAGGGCUGAUAUGAGAACAAGGCAGUCACAGGCAUGAUUCAUUAAGUGUGGACCACUAGACAAAAAUUGAGAUUUCUGACUUGAGGCAUGGGCUCUGCUCCUAGCUAGGCGCCUGGCCAUGGCAAUUACUUCAUCUCACUGGAUUUUAGUUCCUUAAUUUGCUAAUCAAGGAGAAUUGACAUACCCUAAGUGAUCUCCAAGUCUCCUCUCAGCUCUCAGGUCCAAGGAUCUUAAACAGCUUUCCUUAACUGAGUAAGAAUCCAUGUUCAGGAGUCCAUUCCAGUUCAUCUCCCGCAUGAUUUCCUCCAGCCAACAGGACCCGGAGCCAGCCCUCUGGGUCUUCCCAGCACCCCACCCCCAGGUCUCUGUGUGUCUUACACAAGUCGACUCCCCAGUCUGACCUGGCCUCACCUGGCACCAUAGAAAGAGGCCAAAUUGAAAUGCACUAUGUAGGGACUCAGGCGGCAGUCCACAGCCUGGCCUACUGGGCCACUUGGAACUUUGUAACCGUGUAACUUGGAGCUCCUGAUAAUAAUAACCGCUAGCAUUUCUUGAGCAUUUAUAACAUGUGAGGCACUGUACUAAGAGCUUGAAGUCUAUUUAAUCUGCUUUAAUCCUUAAAACAGUGCUGUGACAUCAGCAUGGUGAGUCCCAUUUUAGAGCUGUAGAUGUAGAAUCUGAGGCUUGAAGACAUUAAAUAACUUCCCCAAGAUCACACAACUGGUGUGCGGUGCGGGUGGGCCCACACCCCUGUCUGCUGAGCUGCAGCACCAAGGCUUCCCUCUAUUGUACCACAUUACCUCCCACAAUCUGCAAUUCACAGUAAUUUUUGGGGACCAAUGAGUGAUCACACAAGAAGGGUACAGGCUUGAGCCCUUAUGUGUAAGGCACUGCAUUUGUUAUGUUAGGUCAAAAGUGGUCUCUUGAAACCAUUUACUCCUUCACCCACCAUUAGGAACUCUCCUCCACCUGCCCUCAGCUUACCUAUCCAAUCUCAUCACCCUGUGACCAUCUGCGGUCAGGCCACCCACUGUGGAGACUGCCUUGCUGAGUGAUUAAGGGCACAGCCGGUAGUGUGGUGCUGCAUUGUCCAAUUUGGUAACCACUGGCUGCAUGUGGCUACUGAGCACUUAAAGUGUGGCUAGUCUGAAUUGGGAUGUGCUGUAAGUAUAAAACACACCGGAUUUCAAAGAAUGAAUGAAAUACCUAUUUUGGAAAUACUGGGUUAAGUAAAAUAUUAAAAUCAAUUUUAAUUGUUUUUACUUUUUAUUUUUUAAUGUGGCUACUAGAAUAUUUAAAAUUACACAUGUGGCUGGCAUUUGUAGCUCACAUAAUAUUUCUGUUGGACAGACUGGUCUGGAGUGAGACCACCUGCGUUUGAAUCUCAGCUGUCACUUACUAUCUGUGCAAGUUAAUUCAUCUCUAUGUACCUCAAUUUUCCCAUCUGUAAAAUAGGGGUGAUAGUAAUAACCUACUUUGUAAGGUUGUUGUAAGCAUUUAAUGACUUAAAUUUACCAAACAGUCCCUGGCUCAUUUGUUUGCUACUUAUUGCUCACUGAUGCCAGAACAGGCCAGGUUCUUUUCCUGCCUGUGCUGUGCUGGUUUUUUUUUUCUCUUGGAAGGCUUUCUGCUUCCUCGCCGCCUCCUUGGGUUCUGUGUCUUCCAAAACAGCAUGGCUUGUUAGAACUCCUGCCACUUUCUUUACGUAAACAUUAACUUCUUGCCUUCUAGUCAUCAUUUCAGCAUGCACACCUGAACUGUAGUUUGAAGUAGACUGAAAUCAGGGCUUGUGUCUACUGUGUCUUAUUUAUCUAUCUGUCUUCCUAUCAUGCCCUCUAUAGAUCUAAUGCAGUGCCUCGCACAAGGUGGCGUUGCAUAAAUGCUUGUAUAUUAACUGAUUAAUGUGCCUCCCACCCUCAUGCUGGGAAGUGAGGAUUUUCCACAUUCUUUCAGAGUCCGUAGAAGGAACAGUCACCUUUCCUCUGGUCAUUCUUGAGUCCCCGUCAUCUCCAGGUGAUUCUCUUCAGUGUAGCACAACUCCGUCUCUUUAAUUCCUAUUGCCCUCCAUUUCUCAUGCUUUCAGAAUGGGUGAUGCCUCUCCCUCCAACCCAGCACGUGAGUGUUGAGAUCAGCUAUAAUUUUGAGGCCUUAAAAGAAAUGCCCUGGGUUCAUUAAAUUCUAAUUGCAUUGAUGGUGAGGAAAGAUAGUUGCUUUAAUUAAGAAAGACCUCCCUUGGCCAAUGCUGUGGUUGUGGUGGUGGUAGUGGAGAGUGCUGUUGCUGCUGCUGUGACAAAUGCUGAUUAUUUAUGUGGUUUUCAGGGGAGUUCAGAAGCAUCAGUUCACACCCACAGGCAGCCCAGUCUUUGUGUCUACCAAACAUCUACAGUCUGUCAUUACUUUCCUUGGGAACUUACCCAAGAGGGGAAACUUUUACCAGCUUUGGAUCCUACUCAAAGUUCAGGGCACAUGUCUUCCAGGAAAAUAAAAUCCCCCCAAAUAACAUACCUCUGAAGGGAUUAAUUCUGGUUCUAAUUUCUCUUUAACAGUCUGUUUCUCAACAGACCAGGGCAGAGACCCCUUCUAAGACUGAUAUUGAGAUUAUUCCAUAAAUAGCCCUUUCUUUUGAAUUAAACAUGGUCUGCCA
rnacentral:lncRNA from 1 species